rnacentral:rRNA from 1 species
UACGUAGGGAGCGAGCGUUGUCCGGAUUCAUUGGGCGUAAAGAGCUCGUAGGCGGCUUGGUAAGUCGGAUGUGAAACCUCCAGGCUCAACCUGGAGUCGCCAUCCGAUACUGCCAUGGCUAGAGUCCGGUAGGGGCCCACGGAAUUCCUGGUGUAGCGGUGAAAUGCGCAGAUAUCAGGAGGAACACCGGUGGCGAAGGCGGUUCUCUGGGCAUUACCUGACGCUGAGGAGCGAAAGUGUGGGGAGCGAACAGG